CAGUGGUACAGUUGGUAGUACUGUUGCCUUUCAACAAGAAGACCCUGGGUUCAACUCCUAGCUGAGAGU